rnacentral:lncRNA from 1 species
CAGAUCCUAUUAAAUAUUAUAGUAGGUUGUUGUUGUAAAAUGUUGCUAGUCUUUUCAUCUGUCUAAAGUCUCUUUGAAAGCUGCUUUCAAUAACAACAACUGCCCAGUAUAUUCCCACCUGCUUCCACUUUCUCAAUUAUUCCUUACAGAUUAAUUAGCGUACUAAAUUGUUCCUUGUCCACUCUCACAAACACUCAUUGACUAUAUAUGGGAAGAUAAAUUCCUGUUCAAGGUUUUAUUGCUGUAUCCAUGAAUACAUUUCAGGUAAUCACAAUUGCCCAACAUAUUCCCCAUCAUCUGUUUAUUGUUACUCCCUUUAUCCUUUUGUUUAUUUAACAUGAAUCCCAAGUCACUGAACAUUUUUCCUCCUUAUUUUAUUAGCCUUGUUCUUUAAUUAAUUUUUUAAAUUAGUCUAUGCAUGUGGCUAUCUUGUAUGACUAUGGUGGUUGACUGGACUGGUUGGCUUAUUGAAAAUUACCUUUUUUUUUCAGUUUGUGUUUGGGGUGAUUUUUAUCCUUUCUCAAGUGGGAAUCUGGUCGUGUGUGAACUCUGCCGAAAUCUCCGGCGGUUUAUCUGUGUUUUCUCAAAAACAUAUUCUGAAUCUGGUCGUGUGUGAAGCUCUGCCCGAUUCUCCAUAGACUCUGUUUUCUCAAGAUCCUGAAAGAGAGAUUUACGUUUUACACGAGGAUUUCUGGCAAGCUACAGUACUUCCGGCGACUCCCGUUCAGACUUUCGGCAGGACGCANNN